UACGGGGGGGGCAAGCGUUGUCCGGAAUCAUUGGGCGUAAAGAGCGUGUAGGCGGCUUUGGCAAGUCUGACGUGAAAUCCCGCGGCUCAACCGCGGUAGGUCGUUGGAAACUGCCUCGCUAGAGUCCGGAAGAGGAGAACGGAAUUCCUGGUGUAGCGGUGAAAUGCGCAGAUAUCAGGAGGAACACCGGUGGCGAAGGCGGUUCUCUGGGCAUGUCCUGACGCUGAGGAGCGAAAGUGUGGGGAGCGAACAGG
rnacentral:rRNA from 1 species